GACGAACCUGACGAACGUUAUUCGGAAUCACUGGGCUUAAAGGGUGCGUAGGCUGUGCAGAAAGUUGGGUGUGAAAUCCCUCGGCUUAACCGAGGAACUGCGCUCAAAACUACUGUGCUUGAGUGAGAUAGAGGUGAGCGGAACUUAGGGUGGAGCGGUGAAAUGCGUUGAUAUCCUAAGGAACACCGGUGGCGAAAGCGGCUCACUGGGUCUCAACUGACGCUGAUGCACGAAAGCUAGGGUAGCGAACGGG
rnacentral:rRNA from 1 species